AAAAGAAGACACAAAUUAAACUCAGCCAGUUAUGAGUUAACCCUAGCGGCUAGCACGCUGCACAGACAGCACAGUGCACCCCUCCCUCUCGCCUCUUCAAUCUCCAAUCUCCAUCGACAUUCAUCUCCCGAACACCACCAUCUCCAUCCACAUUCAUCUCUCCAAUCUCCAUCGACAUUCAUCAGCCCACCACGCUCCCGAGUCCCGAACACCAUGACAACGACGCUACUCCAAGCGACACUCGAAUCCUUCGCACACCACCACCUCACCUCGGUGCCGCUCAUUCUAAGGCACGUAAGAUUUGAUGCUGGACAGUUAGAUAAUAUGUACCAGAAAAGGAAUUCCUGUGCUAUGAAAAUGAAGAACUGCAUGUGAGGAAACGAACUGUGCAGAACUGUUGUCAUUUCUAAGUCUCGUGGCUGGGUGGUUUGCAGAAUUGUUGGGAAUGAGAAAGGCAAGAAACUUAUUAAAAUGCGUGAAGCUUGUGUUAGGAUGCAAAAUUUACUGUUGAUUUCAUAUAUUUGUAGCAUGCAACAUUGUUAUAACUUAUAAGUAUAUGUCUAGCAUGCGACACUGUUAAUUUACUGUUGAUUUCAUAUAUUUGUAGCAUGCGACACUGUUAAUUUAUGUAAUUUGUUGCUGGAAUAUAUAUGUAAGAUAUAAUGUAUGACA